UUCUCCCAAUCAAGUUGUCUAGCAGGAUCAAUUUUUGAAGGACGAGCAUGAGGGUGUUCUAGUUGAGCAUGUUUGCAUAGUUCUGAAUAGGUCCCUGCGAAAGUACAUUGUUCUUCCUCACAACAACGCUUUUUCUCGUCCAAAUGUGCACGAGCUUUAUCAACAACCACCCACCCAGUAACUUCACCUCUACACAGGGGACAAGCUAGUUUACAAUUGCCCUCCACUAUCAUAUGCUGUGUAUUUGUUGUUAGAGAUUCAUCAGAAGUUGAAGGGGAUGGCAUACCACC
rnacentral:misc_RNA from 1 species